AAGCCUCCAGUAAUAUGGGACGGAUGGAGUAUACGUUGUUCCUGAAACAAUUUUGAGUAAUUAGUUCUUAUAAGCCCACUUCUUGUGGUUAGUUAUCAAUCAAUGUCUGCCGGAAAUUUGUUCAACACAUGGAGUGAUCAUGCUUGGCAAUUGGAAACUUAGUUUUUUCUAACGGAGAAUUGGAACCUUGCUUGCUUCGGCGUUUCGCCAGCUUCAGGUCUUUCAUUGUUUCCUCUCCUCUAUUUUUUUUUCUCGUAACGCUCGGAUUCCCUAAUGGGCUUGGGCCAUAAUAUGCUUCACAUUU
rnacentral:lncRNA from 1 species